GCUGGGCGUGGUGGUGCACACCUGUUAAUCCCAGCGGCUUGGGAGGCUGAGGCAGGAGGAUUUUGAGUUCAAAGCCAGCCUCAGCAAAAGCAUGAGGCCCUAAGCAGAGACCCUGUCUCUA
rnacentral:sRNA from 1 species